CCACUCCAGCUAGAGUUGAAGCCCACAAUAGUGAGGUUGUUGCUCUGUGUGUCUUACCCUGCUCAGCUGCAGACAGAAGAUCCUUCAUUGCAUUCCUUUCCAGUGAUACCUGAGAGAGAGCAUACAUCCUGUCCACACUGGUGUCUUACUUCAGUUAUAAUCUUCAAGGACAAGGAAAAAGCAUGAAAUAUAUCACCCAGAGAACACAGGAAAGAAUCCUCCAGCAUCCAUUUCCAAACCCC